GUCUCCAAGCAUAAACCAUGGGAUUUCCAGCAUGACUUUCCCCUGCUCUUUGCCAUCACUAAGGGUCAGUGUGCAGGCCUGUAACUCACCAUCCACAUCUGAACCCUGCUGUGAGGAGAGACAAUUGCCACCUUCCUGUGGUUGUCUGUCACACUCACUAUCCCUGUCCCUUGAGUACUUCAUGAAUAUUGAUGAAAAUACCUCCAGGAAAAGGAGGAACCUUUCAAAAAUUAACCUAAGACCAGCUGGAAAAAGCUAGUCUGACACCUUUUCCUGUGAAUGGGACACAGUCAAGAUCCCCAUAGCACCAGCUUAGCACCCAAC